GUUUUGCUGUUCAAGUCAAGAGGAGGAGGGCGGAUCCCACUUCGUCGUUUAAUCCGAUUGGUCUAUUAGUUGUCAAAAUCGCACCCAAAUGUCUACUUUUAUUGGUUGUUGUGCAAAUUUGCAUGAAAUAGAUACACGGAAUUGGGUAAAGAGACACCAAUCACUUGCAAGAGAGACACCACUGGAUACGCAUUUUUUCUGAUUUCCCACCUCCGACCGAACCCAGUUGCAGACAAAGUGGCUUGAAAGGACCUCAAAUACUCAGAGUAAAAUCAUGGUUUAAUCAAUCAACCAGAAACAGUACACAUUUUGGAUUCCCGUUAAACAACCGUAUGUAUACUUCACAGCAGCUCUAUCAGCCCGGCCUCUACACUUUUUGGGACCUGAUGCAGACCCCCCCUCAGAUCCUCACAGUCAGUGCCUGCGCCUGGGUCAGCAGUUUUUGCCGGCUUGGAGAAAUUAGGACAAGCGACUCCCUGGAGGUCUCUGAAACCAUGUCAGUCAGCGUCCACGAAAACCGCAAGUCCCGGACCAGCACGGGCUCCAUGAACAUCUCUCUGUUCCAUAAGCCCUCGCAUCCAGACAGUGUGCUCACCCAUCUCAACACCCUCCGCAAGCAGUGCAUGUUCACUGAUGUGACGCUGUUGGCGGGGGACCGCUCCUUCCCCUGCCAUCGGGCGGUACUGGCCGCAUGCAGCCGCUACUUUGAGGCCAUGUUCAGUGGCGGGCUCCGUGAGAGCCUGGACAGUGAGGUGAACUUCAGAGACAGUGUGCAUCCAGAGGUGUUGGAGCUGCUGCUGGACUUUGCCUACUCGUCACGUGUCAUCAUCAACGAGGAGAACGCAGAGUCGUUGCUGGAGGCGGGAGACAUGCUGCAGUUCCACGACAUCAGAGACGCAGCCGCAGAGUUCCUGGAGAAGAACCUGCACUCGUCCAACUGCCUGGGCAUGAUGCUGCUGUCUGAUGCCCACCAGUGCAAACAGCUGUAUGAGCUCUCCUGGAGGAUGUGCCUGGUGCACUUUGAGGCGUUGCGGGACACAGAGGACUUCUACGGCCUCAACAAAGACAAGCUGCUGGACCUGAUCCUCAGCGACGAGCUGGAGAUCGAGGACGAGCAUAUCGUGUUCAACGCUGUGAUGCGCUGGGUGCGCUACGACCUGGACGGCCGCAGGGACUACCUCCCUGAGCUGCUGGGUGGCAUCCGCCUGGCCCUGCUGCCCUCUGAGUGUCUGAUCGAGGCGGUGGCCUGCGAGGAGCUGGUGAUGUCAGACAAGAGGAGCCGGCAGAUAGUGGAGGAAGCCAUGCAGUGCAAGAAGAAGAUCCUGCAGAACGAUGGGGUGGUCACCAGCCCCUGUGCUCGGCCCCGCAAGGCAGGCCACACGCUGCUCAUCCUGGGAGGACAGACCUUCAUGUGUGAUAAGAUCUACCAGGUGGACCACAAAGCCAAGGAGAUCAUCCCCAAGUCAGAUCUGCCGAGUCCCAGGAAGGAGUUCAGUGCCUGUGCCAUCGGCUGUAAGGUCUACGUGACUGGGGGAAGGGGUUCUGAGAACGGGGUGUCCAAGGAUGUUUGGAUCUAUGACACGAUCCACGAGGAGUGGUCUAAAGGCGCUCCCAUGUUGAUAGCACGGUUCGGCCAUGGUUCGGCUGAACUGGAGAACUGGCUGUAUGUGGUGGGUGGCCACACUGCCAUAGCAGGCGUCUUCCCUGCCUCCCCCUCAGUCUCCCUCAAACAGGUAGAGCGGUAUGACCCGCUCACCAACAAAUGGACCAUGAUGGCGCCGCUCAGAGAUGGUGUUAGCAAUGCGGCUGUGGUCAGCGCCAAGCUGAAGCUGUUUGUGUUUGGUGGCACCACCAUCCACAGAGACAAGGCCUCCAAGGUGCAGUGCUACGACCCUCUAGAGAACCGCUGGGCCAUCGCAGCAGAGUGUCCACAGCCGUGGAGAUACACGGCCGCUGCUGUUCUGGGCAGCCAGAUCUUCAUAAUGGGCGGAGACACGGAGUUCACCGCCGCCUCCGCCUACCGCUUUGACUGUGAGACCAACCAGUGGUCUCGUGUUGGGGACAUGACUUCUAAAAGAAUGAGCUGCCAUGCGGUGGCCUCUGGGAACAAACUGUACGUGGUGGGGGGCUACUUUGGGACGCAGCGCUGCAAGACUCUAGACUGUUAUGACCCCACGUCUGAUAGCUGGAACAGUAUAACCACAGUGCCUUACUCGCUAAUUCCCACUGCGUUCGUAAGCACCUGGAAACAUCUACCUGCCUAGCAGCCUCGACAUGAAAAAAGAGAGGUCUCCAGAACUGGGGACUAAAGAGGGCACCUGAUUGCGAUUCACGCAAUUGGCUUGGCAUGAGAAAAUAGUCAUGCCUGACUCGUUUGGAGGUUGAAGGACAUCCCACCCUGACACCCAGGCAGAUGUCAAGAACCUAAGAACCUCCCAGCCACUAGGACAAUCACCAUAUCCCAGGAUUUUGUAACAUCACAAUGUUAGACACUUACUGCACUGUUGGAGCUAGAAAAAUAAGCAUUUCACUGCACCACCUAUUACAUCUGCUAAUCUGUGUACGUGACCAAUAAACUUUUAUUUGAUUUGAGAUAGAAAUAGAUUCACCCAGGUUAUUGUUUAUCAUGCAGAUUGGUCAGGUCAUUGUAAUUUAUGAAGCUCAUUCUAAAUUACAUUUGUGAUUUCUGUCCCAGGGGGAUUGCACUGUGUGCAAGUCUUACAUUUAGACCACAAUUAGUUGAAUGAGGUGUUGGUAAAGGGCUGGAACAAAAACCUGUAAACUCUUGUCCUAUGACAAUUUGCCCUCAUUUACUGAACAAGGCCAAACUGAGCCACCCGAGUGGCGCAGUGGUCUAAGGCACUGCAUUGCAGUGCUAGCUGUGCCACUAGAGA